AACCAUAGAAACCUGCGGAGUACCUGCGGAAGGAUCAUUACUGAAUUUGGAGCCUAAAAAAAAUUCUUUUUAGGCCUCUCAUCCUCAAAAUCUGUGGAAGUAAAAAUAGUGUUUCGGUGCCGAAGGGCACCGUAUUUUAACGCCGAGAAUUAAUUUUUGUCUGAAGAAAUUCAAAAUGAAAAUAAAAAACUUUCAACAACGGAUCU
rnacentral:misc_RNA from 1 species